rnacentral:RNase_P_RNA from 1 species
UGAGAAGGCCGGGUGGUCGCGGCGCAUGAACGAGGAACCGGCUCCAUGUGGGGCAAGGCCUGGCGCGGAGGAAAGUCCGGACUCCACAGAGCACGGUGGUUGCUAACGGCAACCCAGGGCGACCUGCGGGAUAGUGCCACAGAAAAUAACCGCCUCUAUUUGGAGGUAAGGGUGAAAAGGUGCGGUAAGAGCGCACCAGCACACCAGGUGACUGGUGUGGCUAGGUAAACCCCACCGGGAGCAAGGUCAAGUGAACGCAUGCUGUUGUUUACCAAUACGGUAGGUAAUGAGACAACGUGCGAUCGGGUUCUAGAGUUGCUCGCUCGUUAGUGAACAGGUAGACCGCUUGAGGCGCCCAGCAAUGGUGCGUCCAGAUGGAUGGCCACCUCGCAGCGUGACCUUAGUUCCGCUGUAAGACAAAAUCCGGCUCAUAGGCCUUCUCAGCUU